rnacentral:rRNA from 1 species
AGUGAACGCUGGCGGUAGGCCUAACACAUGCAAGUCGAACGGCAGCACAGUAAGAGCUUGCUCUUACGGGUGGCGAGUGGUGGCCGGGUGAGGAAUACCUCGGAAUCUACUUUUUCGCGGGGGAUAACGUAGGGAAACUAACGCUAACACAGCAUACGACCUACGGGUGAAAGCAGGGGAUCUUCGGACCUUGCGCGAUUGAAUGAGCCGAUGUCGGAUUAGCCAGUCGGCGGGGUAAAGGCCCACCAAGGCGACGAUCCGUAGCCGGUCUGAGAGGAUGAUCAUCCACACUGACACUGAGACACGGUCCAGACUCCGACUGGAAGCAGCGGUGGGAGAUGUUGGACAAUGGGCGCGAGCCUGAUCCAGCCGUACCGCGUGGGUGAAGAAGGCCUUCGGGUUGUAGAGCCCUUUUGUUGGGGAAGAAAAGCAGCAGGUUAGGUCCCCGCUGCUCUGACGGUACCCAAAGAAUAAGCACCGGCUAACUUCGUG